UGGAAAGGGAUGGGAUACGAAUGCUGGAGU
rnacentral:piRNA from 1 species